AUUGAACGCUGGCGGCAGGCCUAACACAUGCAAGUCGAACGGUAACAGAAAGCAGCUUGCUGCUUUGCUGACGAGUGGCGGACGGGUGAGUAAUGUCUGGGAAACUGCCUGAUGGAGGGGGAUAACUACUGGAAACGGUAGCUAAUACCGCAUAACGUCGCAAGACCAAAGGGGGGGACCUUCGGGCCUCUUGCCAUCGGAUGUGCCCAGAUGGGAUUAGCUUGUUGGUGGGGUAACGGCUCACCAAGGCGACGAUCCCUAGCUGGUCUGAGAGGAUGACCAGCCACACUGGAACUGAGACACGGUCCAGACUCCUACGGGAGGCAGCAGUGGGGAAUAUUGCACAAUGGGCGCAAGCCUGAUGCAGCCAUGCCGCGUGUAUGAAGAAGGCCUUCGGGUUGUAAAGUACUUUCAGCGGGGAGGAAGGGAGUAAAGUUAAUACCUUUGCUCAUUGACGUUACCCGCAGAAGAAGCACCGGCUAACUCCGU
rnacentral:rRNA from 1 species